rnacentral:rRNA from 1 species
UACGUAGGGCGCAAGCGUUAUCCGGAAUUAUUGGGCGUAAAGAGCUCGUAGGCGGUUUGUCGCGUCUGCCGUGAAAGUCCGGGGCUCAACUCCGGAUCUGCGGUGGGUACGGGCAGACUAGAGUGAUGUAGGGGAGACUGGAAUUCCGUGGUGUAGCGGUGAAAUGCGUAGAGAUCCGGAGGAACACCAGUGGCGAAGGCGACACGCUGGGCCGUACCUGACACUGAUGCGCGACACAUGGGGAGCAAACAGG